CCACACGAUAAAUUAAUGCUGUUAUGGCGUUGUCUGCGUUAGUAGACUCGGCAAGUCUAUCAAGACGGAGACGCAUCUUCGUCAUAUUCUCGAAUAGGAAACGCGCGUCGUUAAACUGUAGUGGGAAACGAAGCGGCCCAAGGAAAACGGGAAACGACAAUGAAAUUUCUAUCAAGAAUCAGCAUCGUCGUUAUGAAACGAAUAAGCCAACCAGCGACAACAUCACUGCCAUUGUGGAACGCAGCCUCGAGCACUGGUACGACCAAUCAUUUCGUCUACCGAGAAGAGUAGAUCGACGUAUUCGGGCAAUGAACUUUUGAUUAAACAAAGAAAAU